GGGCGUUUAGCUCAGUUGGUUCAGAGCAUCUGGUUUACACCCAGAGGGUCGGCGGUUCGAAUCCGUCAACGCCCA
rnacentral:tRNA from 2 species